rnacentral:rRNA from 1 species
UACGUAGGGGGCAAGCGUUGUCCGGAUUUAUUGGGCGUAAAGCGCGCGCAGGUGGUUUCUUAAGUCUGAUGUGAAAGCCCACGGCUCAACCGUGGAGGGUCAUUGGAAACUGGGGAACUUGAGUGCAGGAGAGAAGAGUGGAAUUCCACGUGUAGCGGUGAAAUGCGCAGAUAUCGGGAGGAACACCAGUAGCGAAGGCGGCUCGCUGGGCCACACCUGACGCUGAGACGCGAAAGCUAGGGGAGCGAACAGG